rnacentral:miRNA from 1 species
ACAUUCAGUUUCUAGGACCCCAGCCCUGGAAAUUCUUAUUCCUGAACCCAGGAUGUGAGCCCAGGAAUCUGCAUUUAGACACAACACAGGUGGCUUCUGAU